GCUAGGAUGGCCAAUCGGUCUAAGGUGCUGUGUUCAGGCCGUGGAUGCAUGGGUUCGAAUCCCGCUCCUCACA
rnacentral:tRNA from 1 species